rnacentral:rRNA from 1 species
AGUUUGAUCCUGGCUCAGGAUGAACGCUAGCGGGAGGCUUAACACAUGCAAGUCGAGGGGCAGCAUAGGGUAGCAAUACUCUGAUGGCGACCGGCAAACGGGUGAGUAACGCGUAUGUAACCUACCCUGUACAGGGGGAUAACCCGGAGAAAUUCGGACUAAUAUCCCAUAACAAUAUCCGGGGGCAUCUUUGGAUAUUUAAAGUUCCGGCGGUACGGGAUGGGCAUGCGUAACAUUAGCUAGUUGGUAAGGUAACGGCUUACCAAGGCUUUGAUGUUUAGGGGUCCUGAGAGGGUGGUCCCCCACACUGGUACUGAGACACGGACCAGACUCCUACGGGAGGCAGCAGUGAGGAAUAUUGGUCAAUGGGCGCAAGCCUGAACCAGCCAUCCCGCGUGCAGGAAGACGGCGCUAUGCGUUGUAAACUGCUUUUCCAGGGAGAGAAACUUGCGCACGUGUUGCGCAAUUGACGGUACCCUGGGAAUAAGCAUCGGCUAACUCCGUGCCAGCAGCCGCGGUAAUACGGAGGAUGCGAGCGUUAUCCGGAUUCAUUGGGUUUAAAGGGUGCGUAGGCGGACUAUUAAGUCAGUGGUGAAAUCCUGCAGCUUAACUGCAGAACUGCCAUUGAUACUGAUAGCCUUGAGUUUGGUUAAGGUAGGCGGAAUGUGUAAUGUAGCGGUGAAAUGCUUAGAUAUUACACAGAACACCAAUUGCGUAGGCAGCUUACUGAGCCGACACUGACGCUGAGGCACGAAAGCGUGGGGAUCGAACAGGAUUAGAUACCCUGGUAGUCCACGCCGUANACGAUGAUUACUCGCUGUUGGCGAUACACUGUCAGCGGCUAAGCAAAAGCAAUAAGUAAUCCACCUGGGGGAGUACGGCCGCAAGGUUGAAACUCAAAGGAAUUGACGGGGGCCCGCACAACCGGAGGAACAUGUGGUUUAAUUCGAUGAUACNCCGAGGAACCUUACCNGGGCUUAAAUGUAGANNGCAUUUUCU